rnacentral:lncRNA from 1 species
CGCGAUCGUCACCAUCGUCAAUCCGGAUGGCCCAAUCGCAUCGAAUCCAGCCUGCGUGAAAACACUUCACUUCUGACCUCCUUAACACCAGAGCCACCCCAGACGCCACACACUGCACUUACCCUGGAGCGAGCAGGCGUGUCUGCCGGCGCCCAUCCCCUGUGGUGUGUGGCUGCAGAGGGACAGCUGCCCCGUGCCCCGGCUCCACGCCCCAGGUGUCCGCAGCAGCAGCAGCGCGUUGGGGCUGCGUCUCUGCGCACUGGCUGGCUCUGGGCUGGGAAGUUUCAAGUUCCAGGCGGUCUGCAUUCCCUUCUCCCCCUUCACACACUUAACCCUACCUUGUCUGGUCAAGAGAGAUCCAGACAAAAUCAACCUUCUGCGUCAACAGCCGCGUCCGGCUGCCUCAGAGGCACAGAGUCUGUUCCUGGCUUCACCUGGCUUUCGCCAUAAACUGGAACGAGCGGCCAAGACCCUGGAUGCUGCUGCGGCUUUGCAAGGUAGAGGUGAGGUUUUGCUACGUGGCCCGGGCUGGACUCGAACUUCUGACCUCAAGCGAUCCUCCUGCCUUGGCCUCCCAAAGUGCUGGUGGGAUUAUUUUUAGACCACAUUGAAAAGUUCCAGUUGAUGUUACAGGAAGCGAGCCAGGGAACACUUGACCCCCAGGCUCUAGGAACCAUCAAGAUCAAGCUAGAAAAGGGCAUCGGCAAGAAGGGGUGUCUGGAGGCGUCAGGGCUGCGCUGUCUGUGCGGAGAGAAUUCCGCCGUGUGGAGCAGCUAUGCUCCCUUAGGGGUGGCUGGCUAUGAGGGCUACGGCCUGUCCUCGAGGGUCCCACCUCUUCCCCAGCUCCCAAGAUUCAGGGGGUGGGACUUCCCCUGGAACCCUGGAAAGCAGGGAGCACCGACCGCCCUGGAUGCCAGGAAGGAGGGAGUGUUGCUGCCUGUGGACCCUGAGAAGGAAGGAGCAUUGCUGCCUGUGGACGCCGGCAAGGAAAAAGCACCAGCCGCCCGUGGACCCUGAGAAGGAGGGAGCAUUGCCGCCCGUGGACGCGGGGAAGGAGGCAGCAUUGCCGCCCGUGGACCCUGGGAAGGAGGGAGCAUUGCGGCCCGUGGUCCCUGGCUGCGUGCCCUCCCCUCGUCUCCUCCACCCAAGAGCAAAGUCGAAGCUCUUUUUCCAAAGCUCUGUCUCCCCCACCUCCUCCAGCUUCCCUCUAAGAGUUCCUGUUGGUGUCCUCCACCCCCAGUCCACAGUCCAGGAGCCAAGAAUUCAUGGCAGACCCCGAGCCACAGCUCGCCAAAUCAUUCGCUCAUUGUUAGACAUCUGGGGUUUUCAACUUUCUGUUUUCAUAAAGGACACGGUAAGUGCCCCUGGGCAGCGGCUCCUCUGGAGCUCCAGUCCGAGAACCUCGGGGGUGAAAUUCUGUUCUCAGCUCCGCCCCUGCCCAGGCCGCUGUACCAUCCCAUGAGAGGCUGGAGUUGGAAGCCCCUUGACGUCCCGGCCUCCAUGGGCAUGAGCAUCCCGAGCACCCAGACCUCGGCUUCUCAGUACCGUGUUCCAUUCAAAGUGGCCAGGACUCCUGGGAGAAUUGGCCAGCUCCAGCCUGGGCAGGGAAAACACCAGAGGCUUGUAGGAGAUCGCGACCCUCCAGGGCUACGAGGCCGUGCCCGAGCACUCAGGAGCCUGCUUGAUGGGGAGGGUUGUGGGGGGAUGGUGGGAGCUGACAGUGCCAGGAGAUGGCCUGGGGCACAAGCGGCCCCACAGCUCAGGCUCAGACAAGCAGCUGGAAGCCUGGUGCGCGUGGAUGUCCCCAUGGCUUUAAAGGACGCCCCACAGAACACGGAUUAAUCAUAAUAGAGAGAAAGGACAGCGUUGCAGGGGAGGCUGCAGACACGGCAUCAAUUAAACCGUCAGCGUUCACGUCACCAGAGACCGCCCAGGGUGAGAUUUUACACCCGCCGCCAGGACACCUGCAGAAGCGCAGCCUCGCCCCCUGCUGUCCCCGCCCACCCAGGAUCUCAUCACCAGGAAUCCAGAGGCAAAGCAGUCCGAGUGCCCACAGCACGGAGGGGCCAGGAGCCUGCACAGGCUGACAGAGAUGGAGGAGAGACGGCGGCUUGGGGAAGGGCGUGACACCAUCAGACUCCGCUCUCAGAACCUCGUGGGGACAGUGGUCAGGCUGCAGUGGGGCCUUGCAGGGACCUGUCCACUCCCUGAUUCUGACGAUGCUGAGGGCUUGUGAAUGUCCUUGUGUGCAGGAAACACACCAAAGAGCCUGGCUGUGUGGACCACGGUGCAGCGCAGCUGCGCACACUGCGUUUCCUGUACCAUACUCGGCACUCCGGCCUUGCCUGCGCACUGCCUGAGUCUGCAUUAUCUCUGUGUGUAACUAGGCCCCACCCCGGGAUCCGGGGAGGCUGAUCCCCCACGGGCCUCUCCCAACCUGAGCGGCGCCCUCCUGGCCACUGUCCACUGCUGCCUGAGGCCCUGCCCCAGCAGAAGGCACAGGCUGGGGCAGGCCUGCAAGAAUGGCCAGGAGGGGCCUCCCAGGGUCGAGGCAUCUGAGCAGCACCCUGCAGGACGGGCAGGCCCCUCAUGCCCCGGGCACCGGCACAGGGCCUGCGAUCUCAUGCAUUCGAAUGGUGCCGAAUGGGCCAGGGUGUCCUGGGGGAUCCUGUCGGGCGCCCUCCUCAGCUCUUCCACCUUCCACAGUAAGUACUUCGAUAGUACGGCUCAUGGUCACCCCAAGUCCCCGAGAAGGAAAGAGAGUGACGCCAUGGAGAUGGGAGGUCGGCCCUGCAAAGGGCACCAUAGUCCUGGGCACUACCUCUCCUGGGGAAUGGGGGCUUGGGCACCUUCUUCUCCUCCUUCCUCCCUCCCUCCCUCCUUCCUCUCUCCCUUCUUUCUCCCUCCCUCCCUCUUCCCUCUGAUUUACACCCCCUAAUUGCCAGUAUCGCCCCCUCCCCAGUUGCAACAACCCCAAACAUUCACAUAUUGAUUUGUGUUUCCUGCUUGGGGGCAGAAUCACUCCUGUUCCAGCACCGCUGGGCCCCCACAUUCCCCCACGGGCAGGGACCCACCUCACUCCCCCCACACCCAUGAGCCCACAAGGCUCUGGCCCCCACCCCCAUGGCUGCUUGGUGAAAUGACAGCCCCGCUCUGCUGGGAGCCGGGGAAGAGGAAGGAGCUGGGGCAGGGAGUCCAGCUUGGGAGCCCUGUGAGCCCCUCUAGGAGCCUGGCCCUGGCUGGAGAGAGCAGCACUGGGUUGAAACCCACUUAAUUCAUGGCGGCACAGGAUUGCCAUCUGUGCUAAACUCCAGCAAAAAGCAGACGCAGGCUUUCCUUCCUGGCUCCGCAGCCCGGGGCCGGAAUCAGCUACGCCCACUGCACCGAGAUCAGCUUUGAAAAGUCCCCAUUGCAGACGUGCGGCAAAGGCUGGGGGAAGCUGGAAGCUUUGCUAAGGCCGCUCUGCUGUGAUCAGCCUGGCCUGGGGCGCCCUGAGGGAUUCCUGAGCUGCCUCCUGCACCCCUCCCCGUCCUCCAGGAUGAGGCCCUCACUCAGGCACGCCUGGCGCCUGGAGGCGUAGGGCCUGGGACUCCACGGAGAAGCCGUGCCCUGCGCCCACUCGGCCUGGAUGGGAGCCCGGGCCCUGUGUGGUCACACCCGGAGGUCCUCGCCGGCAGCGGCGGGGGCAGACUCUGUGGGGGCACCCCCUCCUCUAGCAGGGCUGGCCCAGUGGGGUGGGAGGAUGUGGUGCAGUGCGUGACCUCUGGAGAAGCUUGGCCGGAGCAGCCCUGGGGGGCAGCCAACUGCUGGGCAGGGGCUCCGGUGGCCCAUUUCCCAUGACAGGCGGCCUGGCCGGGAGGCAAGCAUAGUUCCCACCACCUGGUCCCAGCUCCCCAGCUCCGGGCAUUCAGAUGGGCUCGUGGCCACCAGGCCGUUGGGUCCAAGGCGAGUUCCGGGCAUUCAGAUGGGCUCAUGGCCACCAGGCUGUUGGGUCCAAGGCGCCCUGUUGCUUAUUCCAAGGGUUGGCAGCCAGCAGGGUCUGAGGCCACCAAAUAGAAAACGUGUCCCAACUCAGACCCCCUGGCCAUGGGCAGGCGGCCUCGGCUCACUCCUCUCCUCUGGGUCCUUCACCCGCAGUGAGGACUCGGCGCCCAGCACCUUCCUGUGCAAGAAGUCAGGGAGUUCAAGACGAGAUCAAGGCUGAUCCAGGCCUUGCGCGGCUCCUGCUCACAGGAUCCUGGGGACCGUUUCAAGAAGAGCCUCAGGACACGGAGAAUGCUCAGUCUCUCUCCUGGCUGUCCCCGCCAGGCAAGAGGGCCCGGGGGUGGAGGGAAUCCAGGGGACACGGUCCUCACCCCACUGUCAGCGCCGGCAGACCCCAACACUCAUCCCCCAGCCCCAGGCACACAACCCGCCCUGCCGCCCCUCGCCAGGCCCUGCCGGGUGUCCACCCUCUGAGGUGGCAGGUGGGGGAGGAGACAUGCUGGGGAGGGGCCCAGGCCUGGGCGGCGCGGCCCUUCCUUUCACUCCCCUGCCAGGCAGUGCCUGCGCCCACCCUCACCCCCACCACCCCCCCCGACCCCCCGCGGGCUGGGAGGAAAUGUAAUGAGUGCAGGGCGGUGUCUUUGGUGCUGCUGGGGUGGAGUCAAGGGCCAGAUCCCAUUGUGAAUUUGACAGAAAAGGAAACGGGCUCCGAGCGCAGGUGAGGCUCAGCCAGGGCUCCGCGGCUCUCACCCAAGAGCUGAGCUCCAACCUUCCUGGCCCGGCUCCGUUUCCCGAGCUGUGGAAAAUGCCUGUCCACCCGGCAUGGCUGGGUAGUGCCUGCCUCCCCCACGCCAGCCACGGGCCGGCUCCCCAGUCCUCUGUGGGAGGGUUGCUGGUCUCUGUUAAAAGCCCCCCGGGUGACGUGCAUGCCGCCAGGGCCUGUGCCCCCGGGAGACACUCUGGGGAGGGGCCACCACAAGGAAACCUCAGUCCAAGCUGUCCAGCGGAGGCUGGGCAUGGCUGUGCCAGCACAGGAAGGCAGGUAGGGGUCUCCGGGGCAGGCAGCUCUCCCUCUGGCCCAGCCCCCUGUGUGAAGUGCUCAGCCUGGGUAGGAACGUGCUUCCCACUCAGCCUCCUCCAAGCCGCUGGAGGUCCCGCUGGUUCCCCAAAUGGCUUCUGUCCUGAGCCGUGGGCUCCUGACCACGCACCUACCUUGCACGGUCUGAACAAGAGUCUGUGCCAGGGACCCCGCUCAGGAGGGGCACAGAGGAAGCCAAGGGCCCACACAGGUGAGGGGGUCUCAGGUCUGGGCCUCACCCAGCCCAGGCUCAGCAGCAGCCUCAGAAUUUCCUGGCAUCUGCUUGCCUGUGUUGCAACCCAAGUGGGGUGUGCAUGCCGCCUGAGAGAGAAGACACUCGGGGAGGAUUAUGUAAGCGCUUUCCUCCCCAGCACAGGGCCGUCUUGGGCACAUUGCGACCAGACCAUGUGCAAAAGCACUCGGGAGAGUGGCAGGAGCUGACCCACCAGAGAGGGAUUAACCCCUUCCGGGAUGCUGGCGGCUUGUCCUGGGGAACGUGGGGCUGGUCAGGAUUGCAGGACACGGAGGGGCGGAGUGUGAAUGUGGAGGCACCGGUGCUGCGUGAUUUUCCACAAGUUGUCUAACCUCUCUGUGCCUUCGUUGCCUGACUCGGCUGUUUCCAAUGCAGCUGAUUUUAACAGCACCUGUUUCAUGAGGCCACAGCCAGGAUUCUGGGAGGCAAAGCACAGAAAGCCCUCAAUGCGGUUUGAGGCUCCAGGCAAGGCUCAGCUGACAGUAGCUGAAAACAGCAAUUUCAGCCGCAGAGUUGCCCGUCCUGUGCACCACAGAACGAACAAGGGUUUCCAGCUUUGCUCAGAUUUGUGGGGACCACUGGGUUUGGACUUUAGGAAAAGCUCAUUUGCCUUUGGGCAGAAGUGACCGGAGCUGGGGUCACCUGAGGUCUGGGCAGGAACCUCUCGCUGGCUGACGCAGGACCUGGGGAGGGGCCAUCUGUGUGGGGCAGCUCUGGACUCAGACCCGUGGAUACCUGUGAAACCUGUCAGGCUGAGCCACCGUCCAGCAAGUGAAGAGACCCCAACUGGGCCACUGUGGAGUCACUUGGCCACCACCCCCGGGUUCUCACAGCCCUCAUGUGUGUCCCAACCGCGAGCAGGCGGCCGACAGUGCACCCUGACAAGGCACGCGUGUACCAUCGGGGACACCUGCUACUUUAAAGUGACCGGAUGGUGCCCAGGACCACAAGAACCAGCCUCGUGGCAGGGUGCCCAGCCUCCUUCCCCCUCCACUGUUAACUUUUUUGCCAAGAUUCCAAAAACGAAGCUGCAGCUGAAAAUAAUUUCUUUUUCUUCUAUAGCCCAAAUGACCGAUGGUGUAGAGAUUUUCCCAUCAUAGAACUGCAGUCUCCAUUUCUAGUAGGCCCAGGAGGUGACAUGUCUGAGGUUGGGGUGCCUUGGGGCCAGUGCCCAGAGGAGAACCCACAUUGGCGUCCUAGUAAUGUGAACCCUCAUAAGAGCUUCAGGACAGCAGAGGCAGUGGAGAUGCCG